rnacentral:misc_RNA from 1 species
UGGAGGUGGUCGAGGGCAAGCUGCUCAGCCAGCUCAUCUCUGAUCCCGUCCUGUUGUGCGAUGUGAUCUACUGCGUCUGUCAGCUGCAGGCGGACGAACGCAAGAUCACCGACGCCGACUUUGGCCGCUCGAUGGCCGGCGACGCCAUUGAUGCCGCGACCACGGCCCUGCUCGAGGAGCUGAUCGAUUUUUUCCCCCACGGCCGGCGCCGAGUGCUGGCCAAGGCGCUGGAGAAGCUGCGCAAACUGGAGAGCGCCGCGAUCAGCGCCGUGGAGUCGCGCCUGGACAGCCCGGCCCUGGAGAACCGCAUGAAGAAGUACCUGGAGGAGCUGGAAGAGGAAGCCGCACCGCCGGGCUGUUGAUCUGGCAGUGCGCCGGCAUCCUGGGACUCGAUCCCGGCCCCUUCACGCUGCGGGAGUUGCUAGACAUGUCCCACGCCCGCCAGCGUGAACAGUGGAAUCACACCGCGGCGCUGCAGGCGAUGCUGGCCAAUGUGCAUCGCGAUCCCAGGAAGAGCCGGCUCUUUACGGCGGCUGACUUUCACCCGUUGCCGGCAACCCGGAACCGCGAGCCCAAAGAGCCGCCACUCAAGGGCGACAUCCUCAUGCUCAAGAAGGUCUUUGUAGACAACCGUCUGUAAUCCCCCCCCAACCCCCCAAUUCUCAACCAACUGACAAGGAGGUUCUUAUGGACACGAAGUUCUUUCUCUAUUCCAAGACCGUGGUGGCCUGCUGGUGGCAGCCUUGGCGCUGUUCUGCCAGUUCCGCGGCGUGACCGUCACCGGAGACGAUCAAGGCGAGAUCAGCGACACGAUCUUCAAGGCCAUCGAAGCGGUGGGCCUGGCGGUGGCGCUGGUGGGCCGGUUCGUCGCCAGCAAGCCGCUGAGUAUUACACCUAGCGGCGGCGAAGAUGCGUCGCCCCCAGGCCCCGACACCCGGAGCGCGAGCAUGCUGAUCCUGGUCGGCUCGCUGGCCCUAUCAGUCCUGGGUGCGGGGGUACUUUCGGGUUGCUCGACUUUUGUGACGGCCACCCCCGCCACGCCGCAGGACCAGGCCAUCCGCGAAGUCCGCCAGGCAACGGUGCUCUACAUAGGGGCUGUGACCACGUUUAACGGCCUGGUCGCGGCCGGCAAGAUUGACCGGCAGACCGCGCAGGACCUGGAGAUCGUGCGGCAGCGUGCCUGGGCGCGCCUCACUGUUGCCAAACAAGCCGCCGAGUCGGGCAUGCCGGUGGAUGCCGACACGAGCCUGCAACUGUUCCUGGACGACCUCAACACGCUCAACACGAUCCUCCUGAACCUGCCGCCGACUACCGCGCCUGCCGUCGAAGGCUAAAGGCGUGUGUGGCCAGCGGCCCAUCGAGAUCCCACGCGUCUGGCCUCAAACCUCUGGAGACCCCCAUGGAAACCGCCCUCAUCAUCGCUGGCAUCCAUGCGGCGACCACCUUGCUGCAAGUGCACAUGGAAUUGGCGUCCGCGCGCGCUGCCGCGGCACAGGGGCAGGAGCGGGCGGCGCUCCUGGCUGCCAUGCAAGCCGCCUACCUCAAAGCGGCCGACGCAAACAGCAUGUUGGCCAGAACCCUGGCCCAGCACGGUCUCACGUCCCCCGUGUCGUGAGACUUCCCUCCCUGUUGACCACCGGAGACACCCAUGAAGACCGCCCUGGUCUACAUCCGCGGCCUCAACACGCCUGCCGAUUCCGACUGGUGCGGCAUGCGUGAGUUCAUCGCAAUCUUGGCCGCACAACUGCCUGCCGAUGUCAUCGACCUGGAUUAUGACGAUGCGCCAGCGCUCAAAGGGUUGGAUGAUACGCUCGCGGGCUAUGACCUGAUUCAUGCCGCCGGGCACAGCCAUGGCGCAUACGAGUUGUACGGCUGGCUAAAGCGCACCCGGCACCAUGUUGCGACGGCGGCUUUCCUGGACAUGGCCCCGCAAUGGUUGCCGGCAGCCUGGAUGGGACCGCCCUGGGAAGCGCCUGCGAGUGCCGACAAGGUACUGGUGUUCUAUCAGCGCAACGAUGUGCCUCUAGCGGGCGUGCGCAUCACGGGUCCUGCCGUCGAGGAGUUCAACGUCACGCCCUGGGGUCUGCAUCACUCCGGCAUGUGUGCCGAUGACCGUGUGCACGACCGCAUCGCCCUGGCCAUGUUGUGGCAGCAGGCUCAGGCCUCAACCGCGCCGCAGCCACGGCCGGAGGGGGUGUGUGAUGGCGUCCGCCAGGAGUAUCCGUGCCGGGGCAGCGUAUAUCGAGCUCUUCGUUAAUGAUUCGAAACUCGUCCGCGGUCUCCAGAACGCCAACCGCAAGCUCAAAGCGUUUGGCGAGGCGAUCACCGGCUGGGGCGAGAAGCUCGCAGCGCUGGGAGCAGCCGUUGCCACGCCGCUUCUGGCCAGUGCCAAGGCCUUCGCCGACAUGGGCGAUGCAAUGGCCAAGAUGAGUCAGCGCACCGGGAUCUCGGUCGAAGCCUUGUCGGAAUUGGGCUAUGCCGCGGAGCUUUCCGGCACCGACCUGGAGACCCU